rnacentral:rRNA from 1 species
GACGAACGCUGGCGGCGUGCUUAACACAUGCAAGUCGAACGGAAAGGCCUGCUUUCCCUUGUGGAUUGCGGGUACUCGAGUGGCGAACGGGUGAGUAACGCGUGAGUGAUCUGCCCCCAACUUGGGUAUAAGCCUGGGAAACUGGGUCUAAUUCCCGAUAGGACUGCAGGGUGGUGCCUGUGGUGGAAAACGAUUUUCUAGUGGUUGGGGAUGAGCUCGCGGCCUUUCAGCUUGUUGGUGGGGUAAUGGCCUACCAAGGCGGCGACGGGUAGCCGGCCUGAGAGGGUGGACGGCCACAUUGGGACUGAGAUACGGCCCAGACUCCUACGGGAGGCAGCAGUGGGGAAUAUUGCACAAUGGGCGGAAGCCUGAUGCAGCGACGCCGCGUGGGGGAUGACGGCCUUCGGGUUGUAAACUCCUUUCGACCGCGAGGAAGCCACCUGGUUGGAAGGGUGGUGACGGUAGUGGUAGAAGAAGCACCGGCUAACUACGUG